CAAACCACCAAACUCUUUUUUCCUACAAACCAGGCUCCAAUGUUCUAACGUGUGUUCUUCUUCUUGACACGAAUGCUCUGGAUGGCCUUGCUGUGCUCGUCUCGUCUCGCGAUCCGCUCCUCUCCGUUGCUCGGGGCGGCGCGCUAAUGGAGGAAAAGCGCGCACAACCAUCGUAAGCUGCCUCUCCGUAGUUUGCCUUCCUCUCCCCUCCAACCGAGAACAGUAGGCGCAAGGCUCCCUUCUCUUCCUGCUCGACUGUCUGCUCGGAGCACUCACCGACGGCCUUCCGCGCGGCGACCGGAGCCUCCGCACCUGCGGCGCAGACCACCUGUUCGACGGAAUGGCUGAAAUGGUCGACGCCCAUAAAGUGGCUCUGAACUGCGGCAGGGACCGCUUCGAGGACCACCCGGAACCUGUGCUCGAGCUGGUGCUGUCAUUCCUGCCCUCGCGAGAUUCCAUGAGGACAUCCGUGCUCUCACCGCUGGUGCACCCUCUGGAAGUCCGUGCCCGCCCUGCGCUUCAAACCUUCUCAGUUCGGGAGUGCCCAGGCCUUCAGCGAUUUCGUUAACAAGCUGCUUGAGCACCGUGACAGAACAUCGCCUCUUCGUGGAUGUGAUAUCACCUCCUAUCCGGAUGGCAAAGAUGUUGAGGUACUCUGUGAUGUUCAAUCAUGGGUAUAGUAUGCCGUCUCUUGUCAAGUGCCGGUGUUUCGAGUUAAAUCAUCGGGUCCUCUUUAUUCUUGUUUUAAGCUAUCCAACAACAGUUUCAUCUCCAAGCACUUAACAAGGUUAGAGCUUUGCCAUGUGGCGUUUGGCGAAAGCCCUCUAGAUCUGUUGGGCAGUCAGGCACUAGAGGUGCUAGACAUAGAUGAUUAUUCUAUCAACCUUGGGGAUAUCUUACCCAAAUCUCUACGACAUCUGAAAAUCAGAGAUUCAAGUCUUUCUGCUACUGAUAGACCACGGAAUUGUCUUUCUGCUCCGGGUCUUGUUACCUUUGAACUAGCCGAUUGUUUCAGGUGGACGCCGUUACUUGAGAGCCUGCCAUUAUUGGUAACAUCAUUUAUCAGGAUUUCUUAUUGCACAGAUGCGUGUUCUAAUUAUAUGUACCUUGGGGAUUGUGGGAAGGAUUCAUGUGAUGGAUGCUAUGCUGAAGAUGAUUGCUGUGUCCUUGAAGGUUUGUCGGGCGCUAUGAAUUUAGAGCUGUUGAAUGAAUGGUCUUUGGUUAGUUGAAAUCUAUUGUUGCAAAGAAGAUGGAAGGAUUUCUCUAAUUUCAAGGAUCCUUGGUACUCAUGGAGUAACUCCUUCGCAAAUUAACAUCAAUCAUGAUUUUAGGUUUUGUUGCGCCUUCAGUUUCGAGUAGCCGGAGUAGAUCGGAUGGUACUAUUCCUGGUUAUGCAGACUUUCAUGUCUCUGGUUUUAUCUUCGCGGCAUUAGGUUGCUGCAUUUUGCUUAUCCGUGUGCACCUGUACCUGUUCCAUUCAUAUGAAGUACGAACUCCUGUCGAGAUACAAUAUUGUACUAUUGCCCAUUUGCUGAACUCGUUGUCAAGCCUCAACUAGUUUACAUUUUGAAGCCUAUGAUCUAUUUUUGUUUCAGCAACGUGUAUCUAGUUGAACUUAUGUAUUAUGGUACCCGUUCUGUUAUAUAUGGUUUGGUCGGUUGCAUGA